GAUGAACGCUGGCGGCGUGCCUAAUACAUGCAAGUCGAGCGAACAGACGAGGAUCUUGCUCCUCUGACGUUAGCGGCGGACGUGUGAGUAACACGUGGAUAACCUACCUAUAAGACUGGGAUAACUUCGGGAAACCGUAGCUAAUACCGGAUAAUAUAUUGAACCGCAUGGUUCAAUAGUGAAAGACGGUUUUGCUGUCACUUAUAGAUGGAUCCGCGCCGCAUUAGCUAGUUGGUAAGGUAACGGCUUACCAAGGCAACGAUGCGUAGCCGACCUGAGAGGGUGAGCGGCCACACUGGAACUGAGACACGGUCCAGACUCCUACGGGAGGCAGCAGUAGGGAAUCUUCCGCAAUGGGCGAAAGCCUGACGGAGCAACGCCGCGUGAGUGAUGAAGGUCUUCGGAUCGUAAAACUAUGUUAUUAGGGAAGAACAAAUGUGUAAGUAACUAUGCACGUCUUGACGGUACCUAAUCAGAAAGCCACGGCUAACUACGUG
rnacentral:rRNA from 1 species